GAAAUGCGAUAAGUAAUGUGAAUUGCAGAAUUCAGUGAAUCAUCGAAUCUUUGAACGCAUCUUGCGCUCCUUGGUAUUCCUUGGAGCAUGCCUGUUUGAGUAUCAUGAAAUCUUCAAAGUAAAUCUUUUGUUAACUCAAUUGGUUUCUACUUUGGUAUUGGAGGUCUUUGCAGCUUCACACCUGCUCCUCUUUGUUCAUUAGCUGGAUCUCAGUGAUAUGCUUGGUUCCACUCGGCGUGAUAAGUUAUCUAUCGCUGAGGACACUGUAAAAGGUGGCCAAGGUAAAUGCAGAUGAACCGCUUCUAAUAGUCCAUUGACUUGGACAAUACUUUUAUGAUCUGAUCUCAAAUCAGGUAGGACUACCCGCUGAACUUAAGC
rnacentral:misc_RNA from 1 species